rnacentral:rRNA from 1 species
GUGUCAGCCGCCGCGGUAAUACGGAGGGUGCAAGCGUUGUCCGGAAUCACUGGGUGUAAAGGGUGUGUAGGUGGGUCUGUAAGUCAGAGGUGAAAGCCUGCGGCUUAACCGUAGAAUUGCCUUUGAUACUGCAGAUCUUGAGUCCUGGAGAGGCCGCCGGAAUUCGUGGUGUAGCGGUGAAAUGCGUAGAUAUCACGAGGAACACCAGAGGCGUAGGCGGGUGGCUGGACAGGUACUGACACUGAGGCACGAAAGCGUGGGGAGCAAACAGGAUUAGAUACCCUGGUAGUCCACGCCGUAAACGAUGGAUGCUCGAUGCUGCGGCGUUUUUGCUGCAGUGUCCAAGCUAACGCAUUAAGUUAUCCGCCUGGGGAGUACGGUCGCAAGAUUAAAACUCAAAGGAAUUGGCGGGG